UUGAAACCGGUUAACUCUAAAAAUCCCAUUGAUGUUCUAAACAUUAAGUUGAAGAGAUUCAAAAAAUUCUUUAAAGGAUGGGGUGCUAAUCUUUUUGGCAAAUCAAGAAAGAGGAGAAGGGACCUCAGGGAGGAGUUAGAGCAUCUAGAAAAAUUAGAAGAAACAGAUGUGUUGUCUCCUGAGUUAUAUGAGAGGAAAGUUGAGAUAUCGGCAGAAUUAUAUGAUCUGUUAGUGGAGGAGGAGGUGGCUUGGACGCAAAAAUCACACGAAAAUUGGCUCUUGAAAGGGGAUAGGAACACUGACUACUUCCACAGAAUUGUGAAUGGGAGGAGGCGGAGAAAUACUAUUUUUUCUCUUAGUUGUGGGGAUGUGAUUAUUGAAGGAAAUAAUAAUCUCUUGGAACAUGCCACUAAUUUCUAUAAGGAACUUUUUGGUCCAGCAGUUGGAAACUUAUGUAAAAUGAAGGAAGAUAUGUGGGAAUCACGUGAGAAAUUGUCAGACAUUGACAACUUUAUCCUUACUAGACCCUUUUCUGAAACAGAAGUCAAGAAUGCACUAUUCUCUAUGAAACCAAAUAAAGCUCCUGGUCCAGAUAAUAUUCCUAUUGAGUUCUUCCAACAUUGUUGGGAGAUUGUGAAAAAUGAAGUGAUGAUGCUUUUUGACUGGUUCCAUGAGAACAAACUGGAUGUGCAGCGUCUCAAUUAUGGGAUUAUAACUCUACUGCCUAAGGUUGUGGGGGCAAAUAAGAUUCAACAAUUCAGACCUAUUUGCUUGCUUAGAUGUAUAUACAAGCUGAUAACCAAAGUUCUGACUAUUAGGUUGGAACCUUUUGUGGAUAUUCUCUUCAGUAGACAUCAAAAUGCGUUCAUCAAGAAGCGUGACAUCAUGGAUGGGAUCAUGUCCCUGCAUGAAAUCUUGCACCACACUUACAAUAGGAAGGAAAUUGGUAUUGUGUUGAAACUUGACUUCGAAAAGGCUUACGAUAAAGUCAACUGGGACUUCCUUUUGGAUUGCCACAGAAUGAGAGAAUUCCAUCCAAAAUGGGUCGAGUGGGUCAGUAAAAUUUUAGUGGGGGGUACAGUUAGUGUGAAGUUGAAUGAUGAGGUGGGCCCAUACUUUCAAAGCUCGAAAGGGGUGCGCCAAGGGGACCCUUUCUCACCUUUUCUUUUCAAUUUAGCUGCUGAUUGUUUGACAAAAAUGAUACUUAAAGCCCAACAAAACGGCUUGUUCAAGGGUCUAGCCUCGGACUUGAUCCCAAAUGGAGUAGCUAUUCUCCAGUAUGCGGAUGACACAAUUUUGUGUUUCGAGGAUAAUAUCAGGAAUGCUCUAAACAUUAAGUUGCUUUUAUACCUCUUUGAGGUCAUGUCAGGUUUGAAAAUUAACUUCCUGAAGAGCGAGAUCUUCUCUGUUCGAGCGGACGAUGAGACUAUGCAUACGUAUGCUGAGAUGUUUAACUGCCAGAUAGGUAACUUUCCUAUGAAAUACCUAGGCAUGCCGGUCAGUUAUGCCGGUUUGAAGUGUGGGGAUUGGAGUUUUGUGGAGGACAAAUUCACCAUGCAUGGUGAGAACUGGAUUAGUGAAGUUCUG
rnacentral:rRNA from 1 species